UACGUAGGUGGCAAGCGUCGUUCGGAAUUACUGGGCGUAAAGCGUGCGCAGGCGGUUAUUUAAGUCAGGUGUGAAAGCCCUGGGCUUAACCUAGGAAUUGCGCUUGAGACUGGAUAGCUUGGAGUGUGGCAGAGGGAGGUGGAAUUCCACGUGUAGCAGUGAAAUGCGUAGAGAUGUGGAGGAACACCGAUGGCGAAGGCAGCCUCCUGGGCCAGCACUGACGCUCAUGCACGAAAGCGUGGGGAGCAAACAGG
rnacentral:rRNA from 1 species